rnacentral:tRNA from 1 species
GGUGGCUCAGGGGUAGAGCGCUUGCCUUUCAUGCAAGGCAAGGCCCUGGGUUCGAUUCCUCAGCACCA